UUCAAAUGUUUCGUUGGUUACAGCUCUGAUUUUAUCUGGUCCUGGUCUGCUCCAUUCUUGCCCUUUUAAGGUCCUCCUCUGGCCAGUUAUAGCACCUCUGGGCCCCAGCCCAAAGUCUCUGUGUUGGGUAAACACUAUAUUCCCAUUAAGACGGAUGAGUCUUUGUCAGCAGUGCUGCUGGAGAAACCAUCUGUUAGGUCCAGGCCAUCUGUGCUUUAGGAAAGUCCUGGAAUGCUGUUGAAGUGUAGAGCGACCCAGCCUUCCAUCCUGGUGGAGAAUAGUCUGCCUGCUUAGAUGUGUGAAGAGGUCGUUAUGCAUUACCUUGUUGAGUCCUCCAAAACCUUGUGAGUUUCAUGCAGGUUCAUGUGAGGCAGCAGGACCCUGGGACCCACCCUGACGCCAAUCUAUCCUCCCUGCUCCUGACUCUGGAGCCUCAGGGCUCAGGUGUUUGUCCAGGUGGAAGCGCUGCCGAAAAGGGUCCCAGAUGCCAGCCUUUCUCAAUGCUGCUCAGGAUUCUCGCCGGUCCAAACCACACAGAAGCCAGAAACCAAGAAAAUGUGUUGAUGUGGUCCAGCCAGAGUGGCCUCUGGGGGCAGAGAACUAGGUUGAGGAAGGUGAGAGAGGGUCUUGAAGGGCAAUAAAAGGUCUCAAGAAUCAUUAUACUCUUGAAUAACAAGUUGAACAUUUCUUAAAACAGAAUCUCACCUGUGAAGGCUUUUUAUUGCCGCAAAAUAAAAUCCAAAAGACUUAACA
ensembl:lncRNA